AUGUUGCUCUGCGGUGCUCUGAAGGUGUUCCUGGCUUCCAUGUGGCUAGGAUUCAGUGUUUCCCAGAAUGUAAAUCAAACUUCGUCUUCCAUACUAGUGCAAGAGACAGAGACUGUGACCCUGGACUGCACAUACGAUACCAACUCCUUCAGCUACGGUCUCUUUUGGUACAAGCAGCCUAGCCAUCGGGAAAUGAUUUUCCUUAUUCGUCAGGUCUCCUAUAAUGAGGAAAAUGCAAGAGAAGGUCGCUACUCACUGGAUUUCCAGAAGACAAGCAAAUCCAUCAAACUUGUCAUCUCAGCCACCCAGGUGGAGGACUCUGCAGUGUAUUUCUGUGCGCUUAGUGAGACACAGCUGACGUAUAUGAAAGCUACUCCUGUAUUCCUGUUGCCUAUUGAUGAUGUCGCCAUUGUCAACUUGUAG